UUUCCACAGGUGAUGAGUUAC
rnacentral:miRNA from 1 species